rnacentral:rRNA from 1 species
UCCCCGAAAUAGCUUUAGGGCUAGCCUCAGGGAAAAGAUUGCAGGCGGUAGAGCACUGAUCAGGAGAGGGACCUACCCGGUUACCAAACCCAGUCAAACUCCGAAUGGCUGCAAUCAUACCUGGGAGUCAGACUGCGACUAAUAAGGGCCGCAGUCAAAAGGGAAACAGCCCAGACCAUCAGCUAAGGUCCCCAAUGCCGUGCUAAGUGGCAAAGGAUGUGGCAUUUCAUAAACAACCAGGAUGUUGGCUCAGAAGCAGCCACCAUUUAAAGAGUGCGUAAUAGCUCACUGGUCGAGAGACGCUGCGCCGAAAAUGUCCGGGGCUCAAGCACGGAACCGAAGCUAUGGCAUGAUAGCAAUAUCAUGGGUAGGGGAGCGUUCUUAUAAGGAAGAAGCAUGACCGGAAGGACAUGUGGACAAAUAAGAAGUGAGAAUGCCGGUAUGAGUAUCGAAAAGAAAGGUGAGAAUCCUUUCCACCGAAAGCCCGAGGGUUCCUGAGCAACGAUCGUCGACUCAGGGUAAGUCGGGACCUAAGCCGAGGCGAGAAGCGUAGGCGAUGGACAACAGGUUGAAAUUCCUGUACCGGAUCAAGUCGAUCGAGCGAAGGAGCGACGCAGGAGGGCACAUGAUCGCGCGGCUGGAAGAGCGCGUCCAAGUGCGUAUGUUGCUGCAGAGGAAAACCCCUGCAGCUAAAAGCAGAGACAUGAAGGGGAGUUAAAGGAAACUUUGACGAACUCAUGGAUCCCACACUGCCAAGAAAAACUUCUAGCGAGACAAGAUCCGCCCGUACCGUAAACCGACACAGGUAGGCGGGGAGAGAAUCCUAAGGUGCGCGGGAAAACCCUCGUUAAGGAACUCGGCAAAUUGCAUCCGUAACCUAGGGAGAAGGAUGGCCCCCGGUCAGUGAAGAGCAGAAACGCUCAGAGCUAAAAGGGGCGGCAGAAAAGAGGCCCAAGCAACUGUUUACCAAAAACACAGGUGCCUGCGAAAGCGAAAGCUGAAGUAUAGGUGCUGACGCCUGCCCGGUGCCGGAAGGUUAAGGAGAGAAGUUAGCGAAAGCGAAGCAUCGAACUGAAGCCCCGGUGAACGGCGGCCGUAACUAUAACGGUCCUAAGGUAGCGAAAUUCCUUGUCGGGUAAG